AGGGAGAUUCCUUGAAGGGACAGGGCGUGCGUCCGGUGAGAUCUUAUCAGAGUAAAGCAGCCCAGGCACUGGCCUGGUACCUGGCUUUCCACUCUCACCUCGGAGCGAAGUCGGCGUUACCGGGACAGCGGGAGAAACUGGAUAGAGGGCGGGGGCUAUGUGUUCGCCAGCCCGCAUGCGCGGAGCCACAAUGGUCGGACUACAACUCCCAGAGGAGUCACGCGGAGGCCGCCUACCCCGGCGCCAUCUUGAAAUCUGAUGCCUCAUCGCCCGGGCUUUGCGUCAGCCCUGAGCCGCCACUGCUGUCCGGGAGCCCAGCCUGCCCGCCUGGGAGGACGUAGAGGACACGGCUGCCCGCGGCAGAGACAGCUGGAGGGGCCUUGGCAGCGUCCGCGCUCUGCUCGCACCCUGUCACUCAGCAUCCCCCCCCCACUCGGCGUUCUGUGCCCGCCCCCAGCCCGAGGGGCGGGGCUGGUCGUGUGGUACCCAGAGCCUGCGCGCUCUGAAGUGCGCCCCUACCCAGUGAGGACCCCAGGCAGGGCCAUGCCAGCCACAGACGAUCUAGGUGGGAAGAGGAACGCAUCCCAGAGCCAGUGAGCAGCCCACCGCUGUGACCGUUACAGAGAAGAAGCUCGGCACCCUCCCGGAGUAAAGAUGAAAGAGAUUUGCAGGAUCUGUGCCCGGGAGCUGUGUGGAAACCAGCGGCGUUGGAUCUUCCAUACCGCUUCCAAGCUCAACCUCCAGGUUCUGCUUUCGUACGUCCUAGGCAAAGAUGUCACUCGUGAUGGCAAAGCCGAGUUUGCUUGCAGCAAGUGUGCUUUCAUGCUCGAUCGCAUAUAUCGAUUCGAUACUGUUAUCGCCAGGAUCGAAGCCCUUUCUCUUGAGCGCUUGCAGAAACUGCUGCUGGAAAAGGAUCGCCUCAAGUUCUGCAUCGCCAGUAUGUAUCGGAAGAAUAACGACGACUCUGGCGAGGAGAUCAAGGCGGGAAGUGGGACGGUUGACAUUUCCAACUUACCAGAUAUGAGGUACUCUGCGCUGCUCCAGGAAGACUUUGCUUAUUCAGGGUUUGAGUGCUGGGUAGAAAAUGAGGAUCAGAUUCAGGAGUCACACAGCUGUCAUGGUUCUGAAGGCCCCGGAAAUCGACCCAGGAGAUGCCGUGGUUGUGCAGCGUUGCGGGUUGCGGAUUCUGACUAUGAAGCCAUUUGUAAGGUGCCUCGAAAAGUGGCCAGAAGUAUUUCUUACGCCCUCUCUAGCAGGUGCUCUACGAGCAUUUGCACCGAAGAACCGGCAUUGUCAGAGGUUGGGCCGCCUGACUUACCAAGCACAAAAGUAGCCCCGGAUGGGGAAAGCAUGGAGGAAGGGACCCCGGGCUCCUCUGUGGAAUCUUUGGAUGCUAGUGUCCAGGCUAGUCCUCCACAACAGAAGGAUGAGGAAGCAGAGAGAAGUGCGAAGGAACUUCUAAAGUGUGACUAUUGUUCGGAUGAACAGGCUCCACAGCAUUUCUGUAACCACAAACUGGAGCUAGCUCUCAGCAUGAUUAAAGGUCUUGAAUAUAAGCCCCUUCAGAGUCCCCGAGGGAGCAAGCUUCCAAUUCCAGUGAAAUCCAGCCCACUUGGAGCCAAGCCUGGCCAUAUCAUGACAAAUGGAGUUAGUUCCAGUUUCCUUAACAGGCCCUUGACACCUGUGAGUUAUUCCUUGGAGUUUGCGGACCUGCUGGAGCUAUGGGAUGAUCUCUAUGAAGAGUAUUUGCCACUCCAAAUCCAGCCCCAUCCUGUAAAGUUACCUAAGCAACAAAAGCUGGACUCAGAUGGGACCGCCGUAACCCAGCCUGUUACUGACUCCCGCUUGGAAGAGCUCCAGGAGAAAGUGCAGCAAACAGAGGCCACCAACAAGAUUCUUGAAGAGAAACUGAAUGAAAUGAGCUAUGAACUAAAGUCUGCGCAGGAGUCAUCUCAGAAGCAAGAUGUGACGAUUCAAAGCCUCAAGGAAUCGCUAAAAAGCAAGCAAAGUGAGACCGAGGAGCUGUACCAGGUGAUUGACGGUCAAAAUGGCACAAUGGCAAAGCUUCGAGAAAUGCUGCACCAAAGCCAGCUCGGACAGCUCCACGGCUCAGAGGGCGGUGCCCCAAGUCAGCACCAGGUGGCCCUGCUUGACCUUCAGAGUGCCCUGUUCUGCAGCCAGCUCGAGAUCCAGAAGCUCCAGAGGCUGCUGCGUCAGAAGGAGCUGCAACUGGCUGACGUCAAGCGAUGCAUGCAGUUUGUCGAGGCUGCGGCGCAGGAGAGAGAGCAACAGAAGGAAGCUUCUUGGAAACACAACCAGGAGAUACGAAAAGCUUUACAACACCUCCAAGGAGAACUGCACAAUAAGAACCAACAGAUUCAUGCACUGGAGAUGGAAAAAUACAAUGAGAUUCGAAUCCGGGAACAAAGCAUCCAGCACCUCCAUCAAAGCCUGAGUCUCAAAGAACAGCUGCUCCGGGAGUUUCAGGAGCUCCUACAGUAUCGAGAUAAUGCAGACAAAGCUCUGGAAACAAAUGAGAUGUUGCUUGAGAAAAUGCAGCGGCAGAUACAAGACCGAGCCGCGGAUCUGGAGCGGGCUAUAGAUGAGAAGUUCUCCGCUCUAGAGGAGAAGGACAAGGAAUUGCAGCAGCUUCAUCGUGCGGUGAGAGAGCGAGACCAUGAUUUAGAGAGACUGCGUAGUGUCCUGUCCGCCAAUGAAACUACCAUGCAAAGUAUGGAGAGUCUCCUGAGGGCCAAAGGCAUGGAGUUGGAACAGUUAACUGCCACCUGUCAAAACCUGCAGUGGCUGAAGACAGAACUGGAAACCAAGUCUGGCCGCUGGCAGAAGGAACAGGAGAGUGCCCUCCAGCAGUUGCAAACAUCCCUGCGCAACAAGGACAAAGAAAUGGAGGAACUCCGGGCAACACUACUCUGCAAACUCGAGCCCUGCCAGAGUGAGAUAGCCGAGGAGCUGUGCCAGCACCUGCAGCAGAAAGAGCGGAUGCUGCAGGACCUUCUGAGUGAUCGGCGCAAACAAGCUGCGGAGCACGAGAUGGAGAUCCAGGGGCUGCUCCAGGCGAUGAGCACCAGGGAGCAGGCGAGCCAAGCAGCUGCAGAGAAAAUAGCGCAAGCCUUCCUGGAAAGAAACUCAGAAUUACACGCCCUACGCCAGUACUUAGGGAGAGACCUUGGCCCCUCUCGGGCGCCCCACUUAAACCAGCAAGUUGAAGUGGCUUUCGUCAGCCCCCACCUGGGAGAUCAGACUGAUCAAAGUUCCAUGCAGGUGCCCUCUGGAGACGAUAGCACCUCGCUGACUGCUAGGGAGGAUGCCAGCAUGCCCAGGUCCAUGUUAGGAGACUCGGACACAGUUGCAGGGCUGGAGAAGGAACUGAGUAAUGCCAAGGAGGAACUCGAGCUCAUGGCUAAAAAAGAAAGAGAAAGCCAGAUAGAACUGUCUGCCCUACAGUCCAUGAUAGCUGUCCAAGAGGAUGAACUGCAGGUGCAGGCUGCUGACUUGGAGUCGCUGACCAGGAACAUACAGAUCAAAGAAGACCUCAUAAAGGAUCUGCAGAUGCAGCUCGUCGACCCUGAAGACAUACCAGCCAUAGAACGCCUGACCCAAGAGGUCUUACUUCUUCGGGAAAAAGUUGCUUCAGUAGAACCCCAGGGUCAGGAAGUUUCGGGAAACCAGAGACAACAGCUGCUGCUGAUGCUAGAAGGACUGGUAGAUGAACGGAGUCGGCUCAACGAGGCCCUGCAAGCCGAGAGGCAGCUGUACAGCAGCCUGGUCAAGUUCCAUGCUCAUCCGGAGAACUCUGAGAGAGACCGAACUCUGCAGGUGGAACUGGAAGGGGCCCAGGCAUUACGCAGUCGGCUAGAAGAAGUUCUCGGAAGAAGCCUGGAGCGCUUAAACAGACUGGAGAGCCUGGCCGCCAUUGGAGGUGCUGCGGCAGCCGACGACACCGAAGACGCAAGCACGGAGUUCACAGACAGCAUCGAGGAGGAGGCGGCACACAACAGCCACCAGCAACUCAUCAAGGCAUCUUUGGAGAAAAACCUGACCAUGGACACCCAGGAUGUAUGUCUUCAGCCCCCAUCCCCAGCAGCCCCGUCCCCAGCAGGAGGGGAUGGCAACAGGUGUCUUCAGGAAGAAACACUCCACCUGAGGGCUGAAGUCCGCCAGCACUUGGAGGAGAAGAGAAAGGCCGAGGCGGAACUGAAGGAGCUGAAGGCUCAGAUGGAAGAAGCCGGGUUCUCCUCCGUGUCUCACAUCAGGAACACCGUGCUGAGCCUCUGCCUCGAGAAUGCAGAGCUGAAGGAGCAGAUGGGAGAAGCCAUGUCUGAUGGAUGGGAGGUCGAGGAAGACAAGGAGAAGGGCGAGGUGAUGGCAGAGACGGCGGCCGCCAAAGGGGGUCUGGGUGAGGGCAGCCUUCAGGCCGAGUUCAGGAAAGUCCAGGGGAAACUGAAAAGCGCCUACAACAUCAUCAACCUCCUCAAAGAACAGCUGGUCCUGAGCGGCUCGGAAGGGCACGGCAACGCGACGCCAGAGCUCCUUGUGCGCCUGGCCAAGGAGGUCGACAGAAUGAACAUGAGCCUGCCUUCCCCUGGGAAGCAUCAACACCAAGAGCCGGCGAAUGUGACCACCAGGCCUGGCCCCAGACCCCAGAGCCUCAAUCUUGAGGCAGCCAUCUCUGUGGAUGCCCUCCAACUGGAGAACAAGCCCCGGGCCCAAGACUCUGGCCACCAGGCAGAAUUUAGCCUCCCGGGGUCCACCAAGCACCUGCGUUCGCAGUUGGCCCAGUGCAGACAAAGAUAUCAAGACCUGCAGGAGAAACUGCUCAUCUCAGAGGCCACCGUAUUUGCCCAGGCAAACCAGCUGGAGAAGUACAGGACCAUCCUCAGUGACUCCCUGGUGAAACAGGACAGCAAGCAAAUCCAGGUGGACCUUCAAGACCUGGGCUAUGAGACUUGUGGCCGGAGCGAGAACGAAGCUGAACGUGACGAGACCACCAGCCCCGAGUGUGAGGAGCACAACAGUCUGAGGCCCAUGGUGCUCAUGGAGGGGCUGUGCUCUGAUCAGGGGUACCUGGACUCUGUCCUGGUCGGCCCGCCUGCGAAGAAGCCUUUGGAGAACAAACCGGGGAGGCAGGAAGAGUUCCAGGCACAUGGAAAUUCAGACGACAGCUCUGUCCUGAGGAAAGACAUCAGAGAUCUGAAAGCCCAGCUCCAGAAUGCCAACAAGGUCAUCCAGAACCUCAGGAGCCGGGUCCGGUCCCUCUCUGCUACAAGUGACUACUCAUCCAGUCUGGAGAGACCCCGGAAGCUGAGAACUGUCGCAACCCUCGAGGGGUCUUCACCUCACAGUGUCACCGAUGAGGAUGAAGGGUGGCUGUCUGAUGGCACUGGGGCUUUUUACCCUCCAGGGCUCCAGGCCAAAAAGGAUCUGGAGAGUCUCGUCCAGAGAGUAUCCCAGCUGGAGGCCCAGCUCCCCAAAACUGGACUAGACGGGAAGCUGGCGGAGGAGCUGAGGUCUGCCUCGUGGCCUGGAAAAUACGAUUCGUUGAUCCAGGAUCAGGCCCGAGAACUGUCAUAUCUGCGUCAAAAAAUCCGAGAAGGACGGGGUAUUUGUUAUCUUCUGACCCAACACGCGAAAGAUACAGUAAAAUCCUUUGAGGACCUCCUCAGGAGCAAUGACAUUGACUACUACCUGGGCCAGAGCUUCAGGGAACAGCUUGCCCAAGGUGGGCAGCUGACGGAGAGACUCACCAGCAAACUCAGCACCAAGGAUCAUAAGAGUGAGAAAGAAGCAGCUGGGCUUGAGCCGCUGGCCCUCAGGCUCAGCAGGGAGCUCCAGGAGAAGGAGAAAGUGAUUGAAGUCCUACAGGCCAAGCUGGACACCCGGUCUCUCUCACCUCGCAGCAGCCACACCCUCUCCGACUCCCAGCGCUCUGCCAGCAGCACCUCCUUCCUGUCUGACGAGAUAGAAUCCUGCUCUGACAUGGAUGUAGCCAGCGAGUACACACACUAUGAAGAAAAGAAGCCUUCACCUGGUCACUCAGAGUCCAUCCAUCAUUCGAGUCAUUCUGCUGUGUUGUCUUCCAAACCAUCAGCAACCAGUGCAUCUCAGGGGCUCAAGGUCGAGUCCAGCAACAGCCCCAUCAGCUUGCCAACUCCCCAGAAUCCCCCCAAGGAGGCCAGCCAGGCCCAUCCAGGCUUUCAUUUUAACUCCACACCCAAGCCGGCUAGCCUUUCCCAGACACCAAUGCGCUCAGCUCCACCCAGCUUCCUGCCUUUCAGGCCCUCUGGCCCUCCCCUUCUCGGUUGCUGUGAGGCACCCGUGGUGUCCUUGGCUGAGGCUCAACAGGAGCUGCAGAUGCUGCAGAAGCAACUGGGAGAAAGUGUUAGCAUGGCUCCUCCUGCCUCCACAGCGACACUGCUGAGCAACCAUCCAGAAGCUAGCUCUUCCCGCUACCUCAACCCCACUCAGCCCCACUCUCCUACAAGGGGCAUCAUAGAACUGGGAAGAAUCCCAGAGCCUAGCUACCUGGGUGGCAGCGGCCAGUGGGACAUGAUGAGGCCUCAGAAAGGAAACAUCUCUGGGGAUCUGUCCUCCGGCUCCUCGCUGUCCCAGCUUAACUCCAAACCCACAGGGGCCGACCUGUUGGAAGAGCAUCUUGGUGAGAUCCGGAACCUGCGCCAGCGCCUGGAGGAGUCCAUAUGUGUCAAUGACCGGCUGCGGGAGCAGCUGCAGCACAGGCUCAGCUCCACGGCCCGGGAAAGCGGUUCUACCUCUCACUUCUACAGUCAGGGCCCGGAGUCCAUGCCUCAACUCUACAAUGAGAACAGAGCCCUAAGGGAAGAAAACCAAAGCCUGCAGGCUCAGCUCAGUCACGCUUCCAGAGGACACUCCCAGGAAGUGGACCGCCUGCAGGAGGCUCUGCUCGCCUCUCAAGCCCAGCUUCAAGAGCUGGAGAAGGAGCUGGAGCAGCAGAAGGCUGAGCGGCAGCAGCUGCUGGAAGACUUGCAGGAGAAGCAGGAAGAGAUCUUGCACUUCCGGGAAGAGAGGCUGUCCCUCCAGGAAAAGGACUCCAGCAGGCUGCAGCACAAGCUGGCUUUCCUGCAGCAGCAGUGCGAGGAGAAGCAGCAGCUCUCGGCCUCCCUGCAGUCAGAGCUCCAGAUCUACGAGUCACUCUACGGAAGCCCUAAGACGGGCAUGAAAGCUUUCAGCCUAGAUUCCUGUUGCCAAGUCCCCGGUGAGCUGAGCUUCCUAGUGGCAGAGAUCCGGGCCCUGCGAGCCCAGUUGGAGCAGAUCAUCCAAGUGAACAACGGUCUACGACUGCAGCUGGAACAGCAGCUGGAUCGUGGUGCUGGCAAAGCCACUCUCAGCCCCUCCUCUGUCGGCCAGAACGUCUCAGCCGACGUGGAGCCUGCACACACACAGCCACUCUUUCAAGGUUCAGCUGCUUCCCCUCCAGUCCGGGAUGUUGGCUUGAGUUCUCCCGCCACGGUCCUCCCCAGCUCUUCUUGCUCAGUUCCUGACUCAGACGCUGCCACCAUCACCAGGACAAAUGAUGAUUCUGCAGCAAUGAAGGACCCUUCCAAGUUGGAGGGUGAUGCUAUUGAUGGUGCCUUUGCCAACAAACAUGGCCGGCAUGUCAUCGGCCAUGUGGAUGACUACAGUGCUCUACAGCAACAGAUUGGGAAAGGCAAGCUCCUGGUCCAAAAGAUACUGUCUCUUGCGAGGCCAGCAUGCAACAUCCCUGGCCCUGAAGCUCAGGGCGCAGAGGUGCCAGGUAACAAAAGUGUCCGUGAGCUGCGGAGCAGUGCCAGUGCUCUGAGCCACACCCUGGAAGAGUCUGCGUCUCUCCUCACCAUGUUCUGGAGAGCAGCCUUGCCAAGCUCGCCUGGGCCGGGACUGGUAGGCAAAGUGGGUCAACUGAUAGAGAAGGAACUCCUGGAUCUGCGAGCCCAAGUGUCCCAACAGGAACAGCUCCUCCAGAGAACUAAUGAGCGUCUGAAGACGGCUAAGCAGAAGAAGAAGACCAUGGAGCAGUACAUCGUGAACCACCUGACCAGGACCCAUGAUGUCUUGAAGAAAGCACGGACUAACUUAGAGCCUCUGUAGAACAGCCCUUACAAGAUUGUCUCUGUGCGGCCAUAUUCCUGCCCCAGCAAAGGUGAAAUCCUUCAGGGCUCGGUCACACACCUCAGCCUUGUGACCCUUGCCUUCCAGGAGCCACACAAGAAGCGAAGCCAGAGGUUCUCAGAGCAGAAGGAAGGGUGGGCCUGCCCUCUUGUGCAGUUGCCUAUCUGCUGAGGAAUACCUGGCCCCGCCCCUCCCCUGCUGAAGGUCCGGAAAAGGGCUCAGAGAUGGGUCCACAUGGGACAGACAGGAAGGAGAGUGGCAUCCUGGCAGUGAUGAUUAUGGUUUGCCAAGGCCCACUGGGCCUAGCACUAAGCGAAACUGAUGUAGACUGCGUAGAAGGCCUUGCGGCACUGCUUCCAAACAGCCUCCAUGGCAUGGCGCCUGCCCUGUCGGUUCAUGCCUCAGCAUCUGUCCUCAAGACCGCCAACUCAGGGGAACCAGGACCUUGCUGCCCACAAAGGGAUGUGUGGUCCCAACACCGAAGCUCCUCAGACAGUUGUCAAAGCACACUCUCGGGUGACAGUGCCCUGCUGGACAGUGUUCGGGCUCAGCAAGCUCCCCUCACAAACCCGCUCUUAACCCAGGCCAGCCCUGUGGGUCAAGCCAGUUAGUCCUUUGGUCUGUAUCACCACACCAGAGUCUACAUAUCAAAUAUGCUGACUUCUAGGUGCCCCCUGCUUAGCCUAGCCCCUUCUGUUUCUUACAUGAUCUCAAGUUGAAUUGGCUCCCUUAAAUGUGCUGUCCCUUAUAAUCCUCAGGGGAGUCGGGGACUGGAGGCCGCACCGAGCCUACUGAAUGUCUAGCAUACAGCACACCGGUACCUCUUUGAAUGGCAUGGGUGAGGCCUGUUCUGUCCUGAAGGCUGUGUGUCUUCACAGUGCUCAUAGGAUGUGGGUGUGUGUAUAAAUGUAUAAUAUAGAUUUAUAUGUUGCUAUGGCCAUGUGUUGUAGGCCGUAAUGUGUAGACAGGUGAGAAGACACUCUGCAGUCUUUCUGAUGGCGAUUAAAGCGAGCUGUGUAUAAAGUAA